CAACAAACCCUGGAGGCAGCUGGGUAGAGAGGCAGCCUCAGCCUUAAAAACUUUCAUCUCGCUGACAGUAUUGGGGUCUGAAGGUUGAGUAGAAGAAGAUUCAUUUGAUCCUUACAACAACCUUAUGUGGGUCAGAAGUACCCACUUUGGACCAGUUCUGGCUUCCUUAAAUCUUGAUCCAGGGAAAAUGUUAAAUAAAGCUGAUAUCAUCAUGGUCUCUCUUCUACUGCUGAUCACACAGCCCAAAGGGUCAUCUGAGUCCAGUGGCGAGAUCAGCAUUACUGGAGAUGACCCCAAUAUGCAGGAGG